rnacentral:rRNA from 1 species
ACGAACGCUGGCGGCGUGCUUAACACAUGCAAGUCGAACGGUGAUGGUGGGAGCUUGCUCCUACCGGAUCAGUGGCGAACGGGUGAGUAACACGUGAGUAACCUGCCCCAGACUCUGGAAUAACCCCGGGAAACCGGUGCUAAUACCGGAUACGAGACGAAGCUGCAUGGCUAUCGUCUGGAAAGUUUUUCGGUCUGGGAUGGACUCGCGGCCUAUCAGCUUGUUGGUGAGGUAAUGGCUCACCAAGGCGACGACGGGUAGCCGGCCUGAGAGGGCGACCGGCCACACUGGGACUGAGACACGGCCCAGACUCCUACGGGAGGCAGCAGUGGGGAAUAUUGCACAAUGGGCGAAAGCCUGAUGCAGCGACGCCGCGUGAGGGAUGACGGCCUUCGGGUUGUAAACCUCUUUCAGCAGGGAAGAAGCGAAAGUGACGGUACCUGCAGAAGAAGCACCGGCUAACUACGU